UACGUAGGGUGCGAGCGUUGUCCGGAAUUAUUGGGCGUAAAGGGCUCGUAGGCGGUCUGUCGCGUCGAAAGUGAAAACCCAGGGCUUAACCCUGGGCCUGCUUCCGAUACGGGCAGACUAGAGGUAUGCAGGGGAGAACGGAAUUCCUGGUGUAGCGGUGAAAUGCGCAGAUAUCAGGAGGAACACCGGUGGCGAAGGCGGUUCUCUGGGCAUUACCUGACGCUGAGGCACGAAAGCGUGGGGAGCAAACAGG
rnacentral:rRNA from 1 species